GUUAACUUAUUUUACUUUAUUUUUUUAAUUUUCGAGUAGGGAUGUUAAUUGGGCCAGCCCAUCGAGUUUCGGGCUAAUCGGGUUGAGAAUUUUGUCGGGUUAUAAAUUUUCAACCUCAACCCUAAACUUUCGGGUUUCAAGAUGUUUGAAUUCAUUCUUGUUGAAUCUCUUCUUGACCUACUAAUUGAAGAGAAAGUAUCUUUCCAAGAUGAUGGGAGUUCAUUCUUGUUUUUUUUUCGAAGGAAGGGAAUUCAUCUUUGCCAAAACAGAAACCCUGAUUAAAAAACACACAAUUUUACUUCAGUAGAGAUAGAGAUGAUAUUUAAUGAGAUACACAUAGAAGGUUAAAAUUCAUAUAUAUACAUACUAGUAUGAGAAUUGGGCAUCAAAGUAUUUGCAAGGCCUAUGGCUCCAGCAGUAUUUUCCUCAACUCAUGAUCACCCUUCUCACUGAGACAGCCCGAGCCGGGUAGCGAAGUCAGCCACACUUGAU
rnacentral:lncRNA from 1 species